UACUGGGGUACUCCUUCUCAGGGCCGGGUUCUCUGCUCCAGGGACCCAAGGACUCUGUGCAGCCUGUGUUCCCCGCCCCCCCAUCUCGGGUACCCGGAGGUUCCUCCAGAGGACGCCGGGUCACCACGGAAGCCAAAAAUGCUCGGCCAGACGUUCGUUCUUCCCACUCGGUCCAAAUGGACAAAUGGACACCGUCUGCUAAUUGUCACUUUUCAUCUAGUGAAAUAUUGGAAAGAAUCUUCCUCCCUCCCUCUCUCCUUCCCUCCCUCCCUCCCUCCCUCCUUUUCUGCCUCCCUGCCCUGCCUUAACUUGUGAUCCUCCUGCUUCAACCUCCCACAUGUCUGGAAUGACAGUCCUGUGCCACUGUCCCUGGCAAGAAGAACACUUUUGAAAGCAUUUGUUUCCUAUUUGUGAAUGUUAUACUUGAGGGGAAAGAAUAAUCACUUAACACUUC